ACGAGGCACUACGGUGCUGAAGCAACAAAUGCCCUGCUUCCAGGAAAAGCCUCUAAGCAUCAGGUAACAUCAAAUCGUACCCCAAACCGACACAGGUGGUCAGGUAGAGAAUACCAAGGCGCUUGAGAGAACUCGGGUGAAGGAACUAGGCAAAAUGGUGCCGUAACUUCGGGAGAAGGCACGCUGACAUGUAGGUGAAGUGAUUUACUCAUGGAGCUGAAGUCAGUCGAAGAUACCAGCUGGCUGCAACUGUUUAUUAAAAACACAGCACUGUGCAAACACGAAAGUGGACGUAUACGGUGUGACGCCUGCCCGGUGCCGGAAGGUUAAUUGAUGGGGUCAGCGCAAGCGAAGCUCCUGAUCGAAGCCCCGGUAAACGGCGGCCGUAACUAUAACGGUCCUAAGGUAGCGAAAUUCCUUGUCGGGUAAGUUCCGACCUGCACGAAUGGCGUAAUGAUGGCCAGGCUGUCUCCACCCGAGACUCAGUGAAAUUGAACUCGCUGUGAAGAUGCAGUGUACCCGCGGCAAGACGGAAAGACCCCGUGAACCUUUACUAUAGCUUGACACUGAACAUUGAGCCUUGAUGUGUAGGAUAGGUGGGAGGCUUUGAAGCGUGGACGCCAGUCUGCGUGGAGCCGACCUUGAAAUACCACCCUUUAAUGUUUGAUGUUCUAACGUGGAUCCGUAAUCCGGGUUGCGGACAGUGUCUGGUGGGUAGUUUGACUGGGGCGGUCUCCUCCUAAAGAGUAACGGAGGAGCACGAAGGUUGGCUAAUCCUGGUCGGACAUCAGGAGGUUAGUGCAAUGGCAUAAGCCAGCUUGACUGCGAGCGUGACGGCGCGAGCAGGUGCGAAAGCAGGUCAUAGUGAUCCGGUGGUUCUGAAUGGAAGGGCCAUCGCUCAACGGAUAAAAGGUACUCCGGGGAUAACAGGCUGAUACCGCCCAAGAGUUCAUAUCGACGGCGGUGUUUGGCACCUCGAUGUCGGCUCAUCACAUCCUGGGGCUGAAGUAGGUCCCAAGGGUAUGGCUGUUCGCCAUUUAAAGUGGUACGCGAGCUGGGUUUAGAACGUCGUGAGACAGUUCGGUCCCUAUCUGCCGUGGGCGCUGGAGAACUGAGGGGGGCUGCUCCUAGUACGAGAGGACCGGAGUGGACGCAUCACUGGUGUUCGGGUUGUCAUGCCAAUGGCACUGCCCGGUAGCUAAAUGCGGAAGAGAUAAGUGCUGAAAGCAUCUAAGCACGAAACUUGCCCCGAG
rnacentral:rRNA from 1 species